rnacentral:rRNA from 1 species
UACGAAGGGGGCUAGCGUUGCUCGGAAUCACUGGGCGUAAAGGGUGCGUAGGCGGGUUUUUAAGUCAGAGGUGAAAUCCUGGAGCUCAACUCCAGAACUGCCUUUGAUACUGGCGAUCUUGAGUUCGGGAGAGGUGAGUGGAACUGCGAGUGUAGAGGUGAAAUUCGUAGAUAUUCGCAAGAACACCAGUGGCGAAGGCGGCUCACUGGCCCGAUACUGACGCUGAGGUGCGAAAGCGUGGGGAGCAAACAGG